ACUCAAAUGAAUUGACGGGGGCCCGCACAAGCGGUGGAGCAUGUGGUUUAAUUCGACGCAACGCGAAGAACCUUACCAAGGCUUGACAUCCCUUGCUAUCUAUGGAGACAUAGAGUUCCCUUUUGGGACGAGGAGACAGGUGGUGCAUGGUUGUCGUCAGCUCGUGUCGUGAGAUGUUGGGUUAAGUCCCGCAACGAGCGCAACCCUUACUUCUAGUUGCCAUCAUUAAGUUGGGCACUCUAGAGGGACUGCCGGUGACAAACCGGAGGAAGGUGGGGAUGACGUCAAAUCAUCAUGCCCCUUAUGUCUUGGGCUACACACGUGCUACAAUGGGCAGUACAGAGGGCAGCGAAGCCGUGAGGUGGAGCGAAUCCCUUAAAGCUGUUCUCAGUUCGGAUUGCAGGCUGCAACUCGCCUGCAUGAAGUAGGAAUCGCUAGUAAUCGCAGGUCAGCAUACUGCGGUGAAUACGUUCCCGGGCCUUGCACACACCGCCCGU
rnacentral:rRNA from 1 species